UAAUGAUGGGUAGGGGAGCUUCCCAUACGGGUUGAAGCAUGACCGUAAGGACAUGUGGACAGUAUGGGAGUGAGAAUGUUGGCAUGAGUAGCGAGAUGUGGGUGAGAAUCCCACAGGCCGUAAACCCAAGGUUUCCAGGGGAAGGUUCGUCCGCCCUGGGUUAGUCGGGACCUAAGCUGAGGCCGAAAGGCGUAGGGGAUGGACAACAGGUUGAUAUUCCUGUACUACCGAUAACCGUUUGAGAGAUGGGAUGACACAGUAGGAUAAGCUAAGCACACUGUUGGUUAUGUGUGCCCAAGCAUUGAGGCAGUCAAAGUAGGCAAAUCCGCUUUGAUAAUGCUGGGAUGUGAUGGGGAGCGAAAUUUAGUAGCGAA
rnacentral:rRNA from 1 species